ACAAAUAAAGAAUACCAUGUCAUUUAAUAGUCUUAAAAGAUAUGCAUCUUUUUUUGUAAAAAAAAGGCAAUAUAUAUAGUAAAAAGGGUGCACGUUUCUUAGAAUGGAGUAUAUCUACAAUUUAAAAAAGAAUGGAGUAUCUUUAACCAACAAAGGAUUAUAAAUGAAGACCAUGGUUUAUGAAACAUUUGCACAAAAUAGUGCUUCAUAGUGGCUCAAUAUAUUAACUUUUGAUUCUCCAUUGCGUAAUUUUGUCAAGCACUAUGUCAAAAUAGUGCUUCGUACCAUUGCCAUUCUAUUUCUG
rnacentral:lncRNA from 1 species